rnacentral:lncRNA from 1 species
GGUUUGGCUUAUGGCAUUUAGUGGAGCUAGUGAAGGAUUUGGUAAUUGUGGCCAUGUUUCGGGAGUAACGGUGGCGGAGGAAUUUCUAUCAUGUCCACUUGACGAAACAUAUCGAGGAGUAGAAGGACGAGAGUUUCUUUGACUCUCCACUUGUUCCAACCUCCCACUAAUAGUUGUCACUUCUCCCCUUAUGGCUCCCACUUUCGUCCUCAACCUUUCCAGAGCUCGGGUCAUAGCCUCAA